CCUAGUUAUCUGCAAUAUGAAAUAUUAAAUUUGAGUACCAACUAUAACAUAGAAGGGCAUAUACAACGGUAUUUAGAAGAUAUCUAUAUACCACCAGGUCAGCCAAUCCGUCCUACGUGGACCAUCAACAAUGAUGAGAGCGGAUGGUGUCGUCGUCUCGCGCGACGCCGGCAAAGGCUCGUUGUCCCAGAUCGUAUCGCCAGUCCUCGCCGCGUUGUAGCCCUCGUUCCCAACCGACGACGGCCUUCCUCGAUCUGGUGCGGAAGGCGGAAUCGUUGAUGGCGGCAAAGAGCAUGCUCGCACGCCAAUCUUCCACGCCAAAAUUUCUUCCUCGGUUCCUCCCCGUCCGUCUUGCCCCGGUACCCUCCAAUCUCUCGCCCCCAUCCCUUCUUCCCCCAACCACACGAUGCAUCCCCUGCGGCAUGAGAUGAGCAAGGCGGCUGCGGUGCGGCCGCGGAAGCUGCUAAACGCGGCGGCAGUGCGGGAGCAGAACGGAGUAGCGGACUGCGCGGGAGGUGAAGGGCGCGGCGACUCUUUCCGGCGUCCAGUCGCCUUCCCAGCGCCGAAGCCUUCGGCUGCGCUGAUUCUUCCACCGCCGCCUCGCCCUUCUCUGGAUGCACAGCUUGCUAGAUUUCACGCUGAGUAGUUUGUUUCUUGCAGUGUCUCGACCCGUCGGCAUUCAGCUGAUCAGCUCCACUUCGCAUAUUGCAAAGCACAGCUGCUGCACAGCCUACUGCUAUUUCAUUCUGUCUAGUAAGGCUCAAAAGCCCCCAAUUCUGCCUACUGAAUGUUAGGUCGUGAUUGUUAGGAUGGAUAAGGAGCUAUGCAGGAACACAAAUCCCCUCCGUUUCCAGCUUAUGCAGGCUGCACAAGCAUCGCUGGCGCAAAAGGUCUCAGUUCCGCUCACCUCACCUGCCGCAUCUCCUCACCAGUCCACCACCAUGCCUCCGCCGGCGACCUUCUGCGCCAGCAGCGGGGCUGGCACCCCAGCAAAGGCUGCCGCUUUCGGUGGCUCGGCAGGACACGACGGUGCCGGCUCUGACUCGUCCCAAAGGCGCCGCCUUCAGCAUCCGGCCGGAGUUUCUCGCGGUGGGCGGGGUCCUAGCGCCGGCGAUGCUGAUGAUUUAGAGCAAGCGGCAUGUGGUCGCGGCGACUCUCGCGUCAGUGGCGCUGUUCAAGAUUGACGUCGGCGGCCGCUGCCGGAGACGAAUAAACAGGAGCUGGAUUUGUGCGGCCUCGGCCUAGUCUCGCCAAUUCGGGAGCAGAGUCGCCGGCCAAGACGCCUAGGUUGAGCUGCUCUGACUCCGACACGGGGAGCAAGGUCCCACCAUCGGUGAGAGAGCGCAUUGCCGUGGGUCGCUUUGGUGCCAAUCAUCCUCGUCGGUCUCGUGGCCGGACAGCUCCCCGCGGUGGUGCUCACUGAGUCACUGUGCUCUGCGCCGUGUUCUUCAUCUCGGUGGAGGGAACACUAGCCCAGUGAUGACCCCGUCAAAUCCAACUCGGCGGCCAGGUCACUGAAGCUGCUGCUCCUCGAAGCAGCACGCAGAGAAGCAAUGAUGAAUCCAAUUUUGGUUGUGCCUAGAUUCGAUUCACCAUGUGAGAAUUGGAUUUUGAUGCUCAUCAGUCAAUUUUAAAGUUAUGUGGGUUCAAUUUUGUAAUUCUCGAUCUGCAACCUUCCGUCUCUGUUCUUUUUUAUUUUUCUUUCCUUCGCGUGUGUGAACAGAGAUAGCGUAAUUUCCUUGU